AAGACAUGCCAAGUAUGAGCUCAAUGACAAAGCAAAACAAAUGGAAGAAGAAAAUAUUGAAGAGGGACUGAAAUGAAGACAAUUGAAAGUUGGAGGACUAAAGCGCAAAUACUCAAAAGAUAUGCCGAAUGAGGGGCAUAAGAAUUGAUGGUAUCAAUCAUCAAUUGGAAGAUAAAAUUUGUUGAAAAGAUGAAGAAAUAGAAGAAAGAAGUCAAGAGAAGCAACAAAGAAGUUCAGGGACCAAAUUGAACAA
rnacentral:lncRNA from 1 species